rnacentral:rRNA from 1 species
CUCAGGCGUUGUUGGGUAGGGGAGCGUUCUGUAAGCCUGUGAAGGUGGCCUGUGAGGGUUGCUGGAGGUAUCAGAAGUGCGAAUGCUGACAUAAGUAACGAUAAAGCGGGUGAAAAGCCCGCUCGCCGGAAGACCAAGGGUUCCUGUCCAACGUUAAUCGGGGCAGGGUGAGUCGACCCCUAAGGCGAGGCCGAAAGGCGUAGUCGAUGGGAAACGGGUUAAUAUUCCCGUACUUGGUGUUACUGCGAAGGGGGGACGGAGAAGGCUAUGUUGGCCGGGCGACGGUUGUCCCGGUUUAAGCGUGUAGGUGUGUGUUCCAGGUAAAUCCGGUUCACUUUAACACUGAGGCGUGACGACGAGGCACUACGGUGCUGAAGCAACAAAUGCCCUGCUUCCAGGAAAAGCCUCUAAGCAUCAGGUAACAUCAAAUCGUACCCCAAACCGACACAGGUGGUCAGGUAGAGAAUACCAAGGCGCUUGAGAGAACUCGGGUGAAGGAACUAGGCAAAAUGGUGCCGUAACUUCGGGAGAAGGCACGCUGACACGUAGGUGAAGUGAUUUACUCAUGGAGCUGAAGUCAGUCGAAGAUACCAGCUGGCUGCAACUGUUUAUUAAAAACACAGCACUGUGCAAACACGAAAGUGGACGUAUACGGUGUGACGCCUGCCCGGUGCCGGAAGGUUAAUUGAUGGGGUCAGCGCAAGCGAAGCUCCUGAUCGAAGCCCCGGUAAACGGCGGCCGUAACUAUAACGGUCCUAAGGUAGCGAAAUUCCUUGUCGGGUAAGUUCCGACCUGCACGAAUGGCGUAAUGAUGGCCAGGCUGUCUCCACCCGAGACUCAGUGAAAUUGAACUCGCUGUGAAGAUGCAGUGUACCCGCGGCAAGACGGAAAGACCCCGUGAACCUUUACUAUAGCUUGACACUGAACAUUGAGCCUUGAUGUGUAGGAUAGGUGGGAGGCUUUGAAGCGUGGACGCCAGUCUGCGUGGAGCCGACCUUGAAAUACCACCCUUUAAUGUUUGAUGUUCUAACGUGGACCCGUUACCCGGGUUGCGGACAGUGUCUGGUGGGUAGUUUGACUGGGGCGGUCUCCUCCUAAAGAGUAACGGAGGAGCACGAAGGUUGGCUAAUCCUGGUCGGACAUCAGGAGGUUAGUGCAAUGGCAUAAGCCAGCUUGACUGCGAGCGUGACGGCGCGAGCAGGUGCGAAAGCAGGUCAUAGUGAUCCGGUGGUUCUGAAUGGAAGGGCCAUCGCUCAACGGAUAAAAGGUACUCCGGGGAUAACAGGCUGAUACCGCCCAAGAGUUCAUAUCGACGGCGGUGUUUGGCACCUCGAUGUCGGCUCAUCACAUCCUGGGGCUGAAGUAGGUCCCAAGGGUAUGGCUGUUCGCCAUUUAAAGUGGUACGCGAGCUGGGUUUAGAACGUCGUGAGACAGUUCGGUCCCUAUCUGCCGUGGGCGCUGGAGAACUGAGGGGGGCUGCUCCUAGUACGAGAGGACCGGAGUGGACGCAUCACUGGUGUUCGGGUUGUCAUGCCAAUGGCACUGCCCGGUAGCUAAAUGCGGAAGAGAUAAGUGCUGAAAGCAUCUAAGCACGAAACUUGCCCCGA